UACAGAGGUCUCAAGCGUUGUUCGGAUUCAUUGGGCGUAAAGGGUGCGUAGGUGGCGCUGUAAGUCGGGUGUGAAAUUUCGGAGCUUAACUCCGAAACUGCAUUCGAUACUGCGGUGCUUGAGGACUGGAGAGGAGACUGGAAUUUAUGGUGUAGCAGUGAAAUGACGUAGAGAUCAUGAGGAAGACCAGUGGCGAAGGCGGGUCUCUGGACAGUUCCUGACGCUGAGGCACGAAGGUCAGGGGAGCAAACGGG
rnacentral:rRNA from 1 species